CACAAAACUCUCUCUAUCCCUCUCUCUAGAAAUCAGUCCUCUCCUCGGCAAAUAUUUCACCCAAAUCAAAAUUUGAAUCUCAUUUGUCAGGAAUAAAACAAAAAAAUCACAUAUAAAGAAUCAUUUGAUGCGUAUUUGGUAUUGUUAUUAUCAAUUCUCGGUCUUGACAGAAUCUCAGCUAUCUCUUUUCCUGGAGGAUAAACCAUAAUAAGAAGAAUUAAAAGAGUACAAAUUUUCUACUUUUAUCAAGAGAAGUCACGGGGUAAGUUCCAUAUGUUUGGCUUACUUAAUAUAUUUGUUGUUAUUUUUUCAAUUUUAUCUGAAUGAUUUUGGUGCUAAAUUUGCACGGGGAUUUGAUUCUUGCAGCAACUGAAGUACAUUUUAGAUAGUGGUCAUAAUCUUCCCUUACCCGAUGGUAUUAUUAUCAAUGGUCGUGGAUGGAACGGAUACACAUUUACAGUUGAACAAGGUUUCUAACUGAAAAUUGAUAACUUAAUCUGAUUACAUUAAUCUUGUUUUUACUGUGCCUUGUCUUUUUAAAUUUUUCAACUUCAGAAACCUUAGUAGUACAUCUGUUUUUGUCAAAGCUUACUUCCCUAACCUAAUGCAUUUCUAAUAAACUAUUAGCUUUUAACAAAUCUUGUGUUACUGAAUUGUGUUUCAUCUGCAUUAAUGCAUCAGGAAGUAGUGAAUUAGUGCAUAACUGCAUAUAAAUCAUUUCUGCAAUAGCACAAACAAAAGGAACUCUCAGCUUUUGCUAAUGCUCGUCAGCCAAAUAACAAGGACGUUUAGCAUGUCACCUUUUUCACGUAUCACCUACAUAAAUUGCCAUUAGGGAUUGAAUCUUGAAUAUGCCUAGAUCAUGGAAAGCUCGACUCAACAUUUUGUACUCUUGAAUAUGCCUAGAGCAUGGAUUUCUCUGCAAUAUAGUUCCGGAGAAAUUUAGCAUGUCACAUUUUUAGAGCAUGGAAAGCUCAACUCAGCAUUGUAUACUCUAAGUACAGUACUAAUGAAGAAAGAUUGUCUUAUCAACCUCAAGAUGUUGAGCUUAAGGAGUGAAAAUACCUAAUACAAUAUUUUAGAAGUCAGGAAUUUAAGGUAUUAACUUAAUACCUAAAGAUUCUGCCAACCAAAUGGCACAAUUCACAUCUUUGAAUGGUGAUUUAUUAAUCUGUUGACUUACUGGUUGUAAGUGAUAGGAACAAAAGAAAUAGAGAAAAGCGAAUAACUAAGCAUACUUGUGGUACAAAGUCUUCCACAGAAUUAGAAGAA